ACAGAGGGUGCAAGCGUUAAUCGGAAUUACUGGGCGUAAAGCGUGCGCAGUCGGUUAUUUAAGUCGGAUGUGAAAUCCCCGGGCUCAACCUGGGAAUUGCAUUCGAUACUGGAUAGCUAGAGUUCGGCAGAGGGAAGUGGAAUUUCAGGUGUAGCGGUGAAAUGCGUAGAUAUCUGAAGGAACAUCAGUGGCGAAAGCGACUUCCUGGACCAGAACUGACGAUCAGGCACGAAAGCGUGGGGAGCAAACAGGAUUAGAUACCCUGGUAGUCCACGCCAUAAACGAUGACAACUAGACGUUGGGGGCAUAUGGCCCACAGUGUCGCAGCUAACGCGUUAAGUUGUCCGCCUGGGGAGUACGGCCGCAAGGUUG
rnacentral:rRNA from 1 species